rnacentral:rRNA from 1 species
GAAGGCAGCUCACUGGAGUUGUAACGGACGCUGAGGCACGGAAGCGUGGGGAGCAAACAGGAUUUAGAUACCCUGGUAGUCCACGCUGUAAACGAUGAUCACUAGCUGUUGGCGAUACACUGUCAAGCGGCUGAGCGAAAGGUAUUAAGUGAUCCACCUGGGGAGUACGAUCGCAAGGUUGAAACUCAAAGGAAUUGACGGGGGCCCGCACAAGCGGAGGAGCAUGUGGUUUAAUUCGAUGAUACGCGAGGAACCUCACCUAGGCUUAAAUGCUUUUUGACCGUCCUGGAAACAGGAUUUCCCUUCGGGGCAAAUUGCAAGGUGCUGCAUGGUUGUCGUCAGCUCGUGCCGUGAGGUGUCGGGUUAAGUCCCAUAACGAGCGCAACCCCUAUUCUUAGUUGCCAUCAGGUAAUGCUGGGAACUCUAAGGAAACUGCCUACGCAAGUAGUGAGGAAGGUGGGGAUGACGUCAAAUCAGCACGGCCCUUACGCCUAGGGCUACACACGUGCUACAAUGGCCAGCAUAGUGGGUUGCUACCUGGUAACAGGAUGCUAAUCUCUAAAUCUGGUCUCAGUUCGGAUUGAAGUCUGCAACUCGACUUCAUGAAGUUGGAUUCGCUAGUAAUCGCGCAUCAGCAAUGGCGCGGUGAUACGUUCCCGGGCCUUGUAUACACCGCCCGUCAAGCCAUGGAAGCUGGGAGUGCCUGAAGUCUGUAA